AUAUUGCAGUACUAUGACAACCUGCUAACUGUUACGCCUUCCCGAGACAUAGGAUAGGCAAGCCCCCAUUCAUUUUAUAAUAAAACAGCCCAUGUCGUCACCGCGGGACUGGGGUGCAUCCAAUCAAACGUCUCUCCUGUCAAAUCAGAACAGCUCCCAAUAGCAGGCAUCCUGAAUGGCUACUCCCUCUCCGUCCAAAAAUAAAUAAAAAUGUCCCGAAUCGGCGGGUCGAGGUCAGGAUUU